UCCUGGUGAGGAGGUGUGCUUCCCCGCCACUUAGUCACCGUGGUUACUUUGAAAAAAUUAGAGUGUUCAAAGCGGGCUUACGCUUGAAUAUAUCAGCAUGGAAUAACACCAUAGGACUCCUGUCCUAUUUCGUUGGUCUCGGGACGGGAGUAAUGAUUAAGAGGAACAGUUGGGGGCAUUCGCAUUUCAUUGUCAGAGGUGAAAUUCUUGGAUUUAUGAAAGACGAACUUCUGCGAAAGCAUUUGCCAAGGAUGUUUUCAUUGAUCAAGAACGAAAGUUGGGGGCUCGAAGAUGAUUAGAUACCAUCCUAGUCUCAACCAUAAACGAUGCCGACUAGGGAUUGGCGGAUGUUAAUUGAUGACUUCGCCAGCACCUUAUGAGAAAUCAAAGUUUUUGGGUUCCGGGGGGAGUAUGGUCGCAAGGCUGAAACUUAAAGGAAUUGACGGAAGGGCACCCACCAGGCCGUGGGAGCCUGCGGCUUAAUUUGACUCAACACGGGAAACUUACCAGGUCCAGACAUAGUAAGGAUUGACAGAUUGAGAGCUCUUUCCUUGAUUCUUAUGGGNGGGGGGGCAUGGCCGUUCUUA
rnacentral:rRNA from 1 species